UUCGUCACACUAUCAUUAACUGAAUCCAUAGGUUAAUGAGGCGAACCGGGGGAACUGAAACAUCUAAGUACCCCGAGGAAAAGAAAUCAACCGAGAUUCCCCCAGUAGCGGCGAGCGAACGGGGAGGAGCCCAGAGCCUGAAUCAGUAUGUGUGUUAGUGGAAGCGUCUGGAAAGGCGCGCGAUACAGGGUGACAGCCCCGUACACAAAAAUGCACAUAUUGUGAGCUCGAUGAGUAGGGCGGGACACGUGGUAUCCUGUCUGAAUAUGGGGGGACCAUCCUCCAAGGCUAAAUACUCCUGACUGACCGAUAGUGAACCAGUACCGUGAGGGAAAGGCGAAAAGAACCCCGGCGAGGGGAGUGAAAAAGAACCUGAAACCGUGUACGUACAAGCAGUGGGAGCCUCUUAAUGGGGUGACUGCGUACCUUUUGUAUAAUGGGUCAGCGACUUAUAUUCUGUAGCAAGGUUAACCGAAUAGGGGAGCCGAAGGGAAACCGAGUCUUAACUGGGCGUUAAGUUGCAGGGUAUAGACCCGAAACCCGGUGAUCUAGCCAUGGGCAGGUUGAAGGUUGGGUAACACUAACUGGAGGACCGAACCGACUAAUGUUGAAAAAUUAGCGGAUGACUUGUGGCUGGGGGUGAAAGGCCAAUCAAACCGGGAGAUAGCUGGUUCUCCCCGAAAGCUAUUUAGGUAGCGCCUCGUGAAUUCAUCUCCGGGGGUAGAGCACUGUUUCGGCAAGGGGGUCAUCCCGACUUACCAACCCGAUGCAAACUGCGAAUACCGGAGAAUGUUAUCACGGGAGACACACGGCGGGUGCUAACGUCCGUCGUGAAGAGGGAAACAACCCAGACCGCCAGCUAAGGUCCCAAAGUCAUGGUUAAGUGGGAAACGAUGUGGGAAGGCCCAGACAGCCAGGAUGUUGGCUUAGAAGCAGCCAUCAUUUAAAGAAAGCGUAAUAGCUCACUGGUCGAGUCGGCCUGCGCGGAAGAUGUAACGGGGCUAAACCAUGCACCGAAGCUGCGGCAGCGACACUAUGUGUUGUUGGGUAGGGGAGCGUUCUGUAAGCCUGUGAAGGUGGCCUGUGAGGGUUGCUGGAGGUAUCAGAAGUGCGAAUGCUGACAUAAGUAACGAUAAAGCGGGUGAAAAGCCCGCUCGCCGGAAGACCAAGGGUUCCUGUCCAACGUUAAUCGGGGCAGGGUGAGUCGACCCCUAAGGCGAGGCCGAAAGGCGUAGUCGAUGGGAAACAGGUUAAUAUUCCUGUACUUGGUGUUACUGCGAAGGGGGGACGGAGAAGGCUAUGUUGGCCGGGCGACGGUUGUCCCGGUUUAAGCGUGUAGGCUGGUUUUCCAGGCAAAUCCGGAAAACCAAGGCUGAGGCGUGAUGACGAGGCACUACGGUGCUGAAGCGACAAAUGCCCUGCUUCCAGGAAAAGCCUCUAAGCAUCAGGUAACAUCAAAUCGUACCCCAAACCGACACAGGUGGUCAGGUAGAGAAUACCAAGGCGCUUGAGAGAACUCGGGUGAAGGAACUAGGCAAAAUGGUGCCGUAACUUCGGGAGAAGGCACGCUGAUAUGUAGGUGAAGCGACUUGCUCGUGGAGCUGAAAUCAGUCGAAGAUACCAGCUGGCUGCAACUGUUUAUUAAAAACACAGCACUGUGCAAACACGAAAGUGGACGUAUACGGUGUGACGCCUGCCCGGUGCCGGAAGGUUAAUUGAUGGGGUUAGCGGCAACGCGAAGCUCUUGAUCGAAGCCCCGGUAAACGGCGGCCGUAACUAUAACGGUCCUAAGGUAGCGAAAUUCCUUGUCGGGUAAGUUCCGACCUGCACGAAUGGCGUAAUGAUGGCCAGGCUGUCUCCACCCGAGACUCAGUGAAAUUGAACUCGCUGUGAAGAUGCAGUGUACCCGCGGCAAGACGGAAAGACCCCGUGAACCUUUACUAUAGCUUGACACUGAACAUUGAGCCUUGAUGUGUAGGAUAGGUGGGAGGCUUUGAAGUGUGGACGCCAGUCUGCAUGGAGCCGACCUUGAAAUACCACCCUUUAAUGUUUGAUGUUCUAACGUUGGCCCCUAAUCGGGGUUGCGGACAGUGUCUGGUGGGUAGUUUGACUGGGGCGGUCUCCUCCUAAAGAGUAACGGAGGAGCACGAAGGUUGGCUAAUCCUGGUCGGACAUCAGGAGGUUAGUGCAAUGGCAUAAGCCAGCUUGACUGCGAGCGUGACGGCGCGAGCAGGUGCGAAAGCAGGUCAUAGUGAUCCGGUGGUUCUGAAUGGAAGGGCCAUCGCUCAACGGAUAAAAGGUACUCCGGGGAUAACAGGCUGAUACCGCCCAAGAGUUCAUAUCGACGGCGGUGUUUGGCACCUCGAUGUCGGCUCAUCACAUCCUGGGGCUGAAGUAGGUCCCAAGGGUAUGGCUGUUCGCCAUUUAAAGUGGUACGCGAGCUGGGUUUAGAACGUCGUGAGACAGUUCGGUCCCUAUCUGCCGUGGGCGCUGGAGAACUGAGGGGGGCUGCUCCUAGUACGAGAGGACCGGAGUGGACGCAUCACUGGUGUUCGGGUUGUCAUGCCAAUGGCACUGCCCGGUAGCUAAAUGCGGAAGAGAUAAGUGCUGAAAGCAUCUAAGCACGAAACUUGCCCCGAGAUGAGUUCUCCCUGACUCCUUGAGAGUCCUGAAGGAACGUUGAAGACGACGACGUUGAUAGGCCGGGUGUGUAAGCGCAGCGAUGCGUUGAGCUAACCGGUACUAAUGAACCGUGAGGCUUAACCUUACAACGCCGAAG
rnacentral:rRNA from 1 species